AACGAGCGCUGGCGGCAGGCCUAACACAUGCAAGUCGAGCGGACCUUUCGGGGUCAGCGGCGGACGGGUGAGUAACGCGUGGGAAUAUGCCCUUCUCUACGGAAUAGUCCUGGGAAACUGGGGGUAAUACCGUAUACGCCCUUUGGGGGAAAGAUUUAUCGGGGAAGGAUUAGCCCGCGUUGGAUUAGGUAGUUGGUGGGGUAAUGGCCUACCAAGCCGACGAUCCAUAGCUGGUUUGAGAGGAUGAUCAGCCACACUGGGACUGAGACACGGCCCAGACUCCUACGGGAGGCAGCAGUGGGGAAUCUUAGACAAUGGGGGCAACCCUGAUCUAGCCAUGCCGCGUGAGUGAUGAAGGCCUUAGGGUUGUAAAGCUCUUUCAGCUGGGAAGAUAAUGACGGUACCAGCAGAAGAAGCCCCGGCUAACUCCGUG
rnacentral:rRNA from 1 species